UACGAAGGGGGCGAGCGUUUAUUCGGAAUCACUGGGCGUAAAGGGUGCGUAGGCGGAUUCUUAAGUCAGGGGUGAAAUCCCGAGGCUCAACCUCGGAACUGCCUUUGAUACUGGGGAUCUUGAGUCCGGAAGAGGUGAGUGGAACUGCGAGUGUAGAGGUGAAAUUCGUAGAUAUCGCAAGAACACCGGUGGCGAAGGCGGCUCACUGGUCCGGAACUGACGCUGAGGCACGACAGCGUGGGGAGCAAACAGG
rnacentral:rRNA from 1 species